rnacentral:tRNA from 1 species
GCCUGUCUAGCUCAGUCGGUAGAGCAUGAGACUUUUAAUCUCAGGGUCAUGGGUUCAAGUCCCAUGUUGGGCG